UCAGUUUUCAUCCAUUAUUUCUUUUCUGGCCUUCAGGUGCUUUGGAAAAUAGCUCCCUCCCCCCUGUUCUGGAAAUAGAACCACCAUAUUAAAUUGCCUCCCAUUUCCAGUCCCCACAGCAGAUCCAGAAACAUUAUGGAAUAGAAUUGAAACCUUAUGAGAGGUCUAGAAAAUACAUAAUGCUUGUACCCCGUCUAUCACAAACCCUCCAAAACUCCAUGAGAAUUGCAACCAAUCCUGUUUGGGUGUUGGGCCCCAGCCUGAACCCAGAGUGAAAAUGACCCACAGGUCUGUCUUUUGAACAACUUUUCUCCAGGUGGCAAAGUCAGAGCUGCAAGCAGAGGGUGAAGUGAAGUUGCAGGCUGCCAACCCAUCCUUGCCCUCUUCAGCUGAACUUAUAAGUGAUCUUAAUCUGCAGCAAUGCCUUGAACUGCUCUGUCAGGAAAACCUCUCAUGAUUUUCUUAUGCAUUACAAACUGCUGUUGAAGGUAUUAAGCGGGUCAGGAUGCCAACUGUCCAAAAGGGGGAAAUGACUCUUUCUGCACGUGUGUGUGUAUAUUGGGGGCGAGGAAUGGAACUUCUCAGGUUGUGACAGCAAUUUGCUCUAGAAAUUCAAUUGCUUUGCAAUGAGGUUAUAAAAAGUAACAUGUGACCACUCCAUAGUGAGGGAAAUCCUGGCAGUUCCAGUUGCCAUUACAAUUCCAGGACCCCAUGGGUCAUUAAUUGAGGACCUCAUGUGAUUUUGAUGUGGGAGAUUGAGGGUGUGAUAGCAUGCGCACGCACAAUUUUGGCACGCUGUAAGAAAUAGGUUCGCCAUCACUGUCCUAGGAUAUUUCAUUCUUCUAGGAGAAAGACUAGAUGCUAACUUCCUACACUAGGAAACUACAAGAGCUUUCCCAUCUUUUAUGAUGCAGCACCUGGCUAAUCUUGUGAAGGUAAGUAGAGUGAAGCAUCACUCACUUGCAAAACUAUUUUUGGGGAGCUAGCAUCAGGUGGAUGGUGAGUUUAGGACAGGUCGGAGGAGAAGCCGAGAGCAAGUAGGACCGUUUUGUUCACUCCACACUGUAAAAACUAUUCCUGUGCUCUGUGGCAGUCGAAUACGACUUGAUGGCAAAGAAGGAACCACAGAAUUAAUGCCAGCAUUUUGCAAACGCUUUCGAAUGGAAAUAGAACGAGAGUGUUUGUCAAGCCUUACGUCACUAGAUGGCGCUCUAGAAAGAAGAAACAUCGAGACUAGAAAGCAGUGAACACGGUACAGUAGUGGCAUUGCUAGUCUGAUGGGUUUUGGGGGGGGGGGGGGCUAGAGGCGGAGAUGGAACGAUUUGAAACGAUAGAGGAUUGGCUUGCUAGACAGGAUUUUUGAGAAGGGCGAAGAACUUCCUCUUCCGGUUCAACCACGGAAGGAUGAUGGCGUCGGCGUAGCCGUUUGAAGGGUUGAAGCGGCAGCUGGCAGGUUCUGCAGCCAUUUUAUAAACAAUAAUAAAACUAAUCCAUUAAUAUUAAUCUUCUAGACAAAGAGGAUGCCAAGAAGAGCAAUCUGGAAAACAGAGAAUGAGAAGCAGCAUUAAAACAAACCAUUAAUCAAAAUCUUUUCCGCUUCUUCCAGAAAGUGUUAAAACCUUUCUCUUUCCUGAACAGAUGUAGGGAGACAAAGGAGAGAAUAACAGAAACUGAGUUUCUGAGGAUUAUGUGGAACUGAAGAAAAUAUUGCAUGAAAAGGUAAAAAUAUAUAAUUACCAAAUUCAGAAAAAGUGGAAAAUAGAAAAGAUCCCUUGGACAACCAAAGGCAUUAAUGAAAGCAGUUGAGGAAGGAAAGAGUGUCUUGAAUCAAAGCACCACCAGAUAAGGGAUCAGAAGUAUUUUUUGCCCCCUCGUGAAUCCAAGAAUAUCAGUUUUGCUAAAACCCCACCGACUGCCUAUUUUUGCAAAAAUA